CCUACGGGUGGCAGCAGUGGGGAAUAUUGGACAAUGGGGGCAACCCUGAUCCAGCCAUGCCGCGUGUGUGAAGAAGGCCCUCGGGUUGUAAAGCACUUUCAGUGAGGAAGAACGCCUGGUGGUUAAUACCCAUCAGGAAAGACAUCACUCACAGAAGAAGCACCGGCUAACUCCGUGCCAGCAGCCGCGGUAAUACGGAGGGUGCGAGCGUUAAUCGGAAUUACUGGGCGUAAAGCGCGCGUAGGCGGCUUGAUAAGCCGGUUGUGAAAGCCCCGGGCUCAACCUGGGAACGGCAUCCGGAACUGUCAAGCUAGAGUGCAGGAGAGGAAGGUAGAAUUCCCGGUGUAGCGGUGAAAUGCGUAGAGAUCGGGAGGAAUACCAGUGGCGAAGGCGGCCUUCUGGACUGACACUGACACUGAGGUGCGAAAGCGUGGGUAGCAAACAGGAUUAGAUACCCCUGUAGUC
rnacentral:rRNA from 1 species